rfam:Asian citrus Psyllid, Diaphorina citri - Florida Strain, whole genome shotgun sequence.
GCCAGCGGCGAUAGUAGGUUGAAUGCACCAGUUCCUCAUGGAUCACUGAAGUUAAGCAACGUUGUCCGUGGUUGAUAUCCGUACAGGUGACCAUGUGGGCAGAUACGUGCUGCUGGCU